rnacentral:rRNA from 1 species
GAAUUCACUAGUGAUUCAGGCCUAACACAUGCAAGUCGAGCGGUAGAGAGAAGCUUGCUUCUCUUGAGAGCGGCGGACGGGUGAGUAAUGCCUAGGAAUCUGCCUGGUAGUGGGGGAUAACGUUCGGAAACGGACGCUAAUACCGCAUACGUCCUACGGGAGAAAGCAGGGGACCUUCGGGCCUUGCGCUAUCAGAUGAGCCUAGGUCGGAUUAGCUAGUUGGUGAGGUAAUGGCU